rnacentral:rRNA from 1 species
AGAGUUUGAUCCUGGCUCAGAUUGAACGCUGGCGGCAGGCCUAACACAUGCAAGUCGAGCGGUAGCACAGAGAGCUUGCUCUCGGGUGACGAGCGGCGGACGGGUGAGUAAUGUCUGGGAAACUGCCUGAUGGAGGGGGAUAACUACUGGAAACGGUAGCUAAUACCGCAUAACGUCGCAAGACCAAAGUGGGGGACCUUCGGGCCUCAUGCCAUCAGAUGUGCCCAGAUGGGAUUAGCUAGUAGGUGGGGUAAUGGCUCACCUAGGCGACGAUCCCUAGCUGGUCUGAGAGGAUGACCAGCCACACUGGAACUGAGACACGGUCCAGACUCCUACGGGAGGCAGCAGUGGGGAAUAUUGCACAAUGGGCGCAAGCCUGAUGCAGCCAUGCCGCGUGUGUGAAGAAGGCCUUCGGGUUGUAAAGCACUUUCAGCGGGGAGGAAGGCGUUAAGGUUAAUAACCUUGGCGAUUGACGUUACCCGCAGAAGAAGCACCGGCUAACUCCGUGCCAGCAGCCGC